rnacentral:lncRNA from 1 species
GAACAAGAAGAAUAAGAAGAAGAAGAAGAAGAAGAAGAAUAAGAAGAAGAAGAAGAAGAAGAGAAGAAAAGAAGAAGAAGGAGAAGAAGAAUAAGAGGAAAAAAGAAAAAAGAAAAUUAGAAUAAGAAGAAGAAGAAGAAGAAGAAGAGAAGAAAAGAAGAAGGAGAAGAAGAAUAAGAGGAAAAAAGAAAAAGAAAAUAAGAAUAAUAAUAAG